AGAGUUUGAUCCUGGCUCAGGAUGAACGCUAGCGGCAGGCUUAACACAUGCAAGUCGAGGGGUAUUGGUUUUCGGACCAAGAGACCGGCGCACGGGUGCGUAACGCGUAUGCAAUCUACCUUUCACAGAGGGAUAGCCCAGAGAAAUUUGGAUUAAUACCUCAUAGUAUGCAGAGUUGGCAUCAACAUUGCAUUAAAGUCACAACGGUGAAAGAUGAGCAUGCGUCCCAUUAGCUAGUUGGUAAGGUAACGGCUUACCAAGGCUACGAUGGGUAGGGGUCCUGAGAGGGAGAUCCCCCACACUGGUACUGAGACACGGACCAGACUCCUACGGGAGGCAGCAGUGAGGAAUAUUGGACAAUGGGCGCAAGCCUGAUCCAGCCAUGCCGCGUGCAGGAUGACGGUCCUAUGGAUUGUAAACUGCUUUUGUACGGGAAGAAACACUCCUUCGUGAAGGAGCUUGACGGUACCGUAAGAAUAAGGAUCGGCUAACUCCGUGCCAGCAGCCGCGGUAAUACGGAGGAUCCAAGCGUUAUCCGGAAUCAUUGGGUUUAAAGGGUCCGUAGGCGGUUUAGUAAGUCAGUGGUGAGAGCCCAUCGCUCAACGGUGGAACGGCCAUUGAUACUGCUAGACUUGAAUUAUUAGGAAGUAACUAGAAUAUGUACUGUAGCGGUGAAAUGCUUAGAGAUUACAUGGAAUACCAAUUGCGAAGGCAGGUUACUACUAAUGGAUUGACGCUGAUGGACGAAAGCGUGGGUAGCGAACAGGAUUAGAUACCCUGGUAGUCCACGCCGUAAACGAUGGAUACUAGCUGUUGGGAGCGAUCUCAGUGGCUAAGCGAAAGUGAUAAGUAUCCCACCUGGGGAGUACGUUCGCAAGAAUGAAACUCAAAGGAAUUGACGGGGGCCCGCACAAGCGGUGGAGCAUGUGGUUUAAUUCGAUGAUACGCGAGGAACCUUACCAAGGCUUAAAUGUAGAUUGACCGGUUUGGAAACAGACUUUUCGCAAGACAAUUUACAAGGUGCUGCAUGGUUGUCGUCAGCUCGUGCCGUGAGGUGUCAGGUUAAGUCCUAUAACGAGCGCAACCCCUGUUGUUAGUUGCCAGCGAGUCAUGUCGGGAACUCUAACGAGACUGCCAGUGCAAACUGUGAGGAAGGUGGGGAUGACGUCAAAUCAUCACGGCCCUUACGCCUUGGGCUACACACGUGCUACAAUGGCCGGUACAGAGAGCAGUCACCG
rnacentral:rRNA from 1 species